GAUGAACGCUAGCUACAGGCUUAACACAUGCAAGUCGAGGGGUAGCAGGGUAGCAAUACCGCUGACGGCCGGCGCACGGGUGAGUAACACGUAUCCAACCUUCCCAUAACUCGGGGAUAGCCUUUCGAAAGAAAGAUUAAUACCCGAUAGUACUUAUAUAGGGCAUCCUACAUAAGUUAAAGAUUUAUUGGUUAUGGAUGGGGAUGCGUUCCAUUAGAUAGUUGGUGAGGUAACGGCUCACCAAGUCUUCGAUGGAUAGGGGUUCUGAGAGGAAGGUCCCCCACAUUGGUACUGAGACACGGACCAAACUCCUACGGGAGGCAGCAGUGAGGAAUAUUGGUCAAUGGGCGAGAGCCUGAACCAGCCAAGUAGCGUGAAGGAUGAAGGUCCUAUGGAUUGUAAACUUCUUUUAUAGUAGAAUAAAGUGAUCCACGUGUGGAUUUUUGUAUGUAUACUAUGAAUAAGGAUCGGCUAACUCCGUGCCAGCCGCCGCCGUAA
rnacentral:rRNA from 1 species